rnacentral:ncRNA from 1 species
UCUUAUCCAGAGCGGCGGAGGGAAUUGGCCCGAUGAAGCCCGGCAACCACUUUGUUUUUGCGAUAAAGUACAGGUGCUAAAUCCAACAGGAAUUUCCUGAGAGAUAAGG